AGACGCGGGGUCAGGGGCUCAGAGCGCGGCCGUGUGGGGCUGCGAGGCUCCCGCCAUGCCGGCUGGGGUAGGUCCUGCAGACCCCGGCCACUGGAGCCACUCAUCAUUUCCGACGGAUGGGCCGGAGGGGCCGCCGGCCGCCCCAGCCAGGGUCUCGGUAGCCUGCAAGGAGAGAAAGAGGUGGGAGCAGCCCGCGCGGGGCCCUGCGUCUUGCAUAGGCGCUUCUGGUAAAAUCACUCCUUUAUCUCAGAUAAUGAGUUGGCGCUGGAUCGCUGCGUCCUCAGAUACAUUGUGGUGCCUCCACCCUGUGAAUCCUGCUCAGCAAUCCGAGGGAUGAGCGGUUGAUUCAGGCAACACCGCGGAUGGAUCUCAGGACAUCGUGCUGAAGUCCCGCAUUCUCAGCAAGGUGCUGCUUCCCGCAGAUGGGCAAACACUGGUCCUUGGCAGAGAUGUUGAAACGGAGGUGCUUUGUUUAGUGCAGUGGCGGCAGAUGACGGCCAUAGGACAGCUGCUCUGGGGGCCUUGGAAACUGCAAAUGCUCAAACCCCCUCCCCAGGCCACAUCUCAGCGUGCGGGAACUGGAGUGUGCAUCUCUCCCAACGGCUUCCUGGUGACGCUGAGCUUCACAUCCACCCAAUCCAUGGGAGCAAACCGACUGGCCUGCAUGGCAGACAGUGGCCCACUGGCCAUUGCCUCUUGGCUUUGCUCAGGAACUGGGUGGAAUGUGCCUGGGGAAGGUAGCCCCAGAACUGCAGGGGAGCCACGACAGACUCAAGCCUCACGGAAACCCCUUUCCCUGGGCCAGAGUUGGUUCCUGGGUGGCGUGGGGCUGGCUCUGGCCAGUGAGGAGUCGGCCCCUGCUGAGGUUUCUGGGAAUUAUGUGUCUCCCAGGUGGAGAGGAAGACAGCUGAGGACACAGCAUCUCACUAGCCCCUCCUCACCCACCAGGUGCCAGCCCAGGUGUCACCUGAGCCGAGCAGCACACGACCGCCCUUGCCCACUUCCACCUCAGCCCUGACCCUCCCUGCACCUGGGAGUCCACUGCCUCCUGAUGUGUCUGUGAUCAGGGCAGCCCCAAGAGCACGUAUCCUGGGACAUGAUGUGUUGUGGUCUAUGUGGGGUCAGAGCCGUCAGUGUUCACUGCCGUGUCCCCAGUGCUUAGCACUGUUUGCCGCAUGGGAGGUGCAGGUCACAACCCGGUAGUGCCUAGUGGCCCGGGGAACACCUGGCUUGUCUGGGCCUGUUGGCUGACAGGUAGGAGGGACUGCCAUCCAUUGUUGGGGCAAAGGAUGCUGCUCAACCUCCCACAACGCAUGGAGCGGCCCGGCGCGCAGACUCACCCGGCCCCAAACACCAACUGUGCCGAGGUGAUGCUCUGCCCCGAGGGGAGCAGACAAGGCUUGAGCAUCGAGAACACUGCAAGGGUCUCAGCCAGUGAGGGGCUGCCUGGGCCCCACCGCAGGCCUGACUCCUAGAGCCAAGCCGUUUUCUCCCUUGAGGCAGUGGGUAGGGCUCUCACAUGACGACCUUGGGUUUGCAGCUCGGCUGUGCACACAGGUGGACCCUCCGUGCUUUGUCAGUUCCUCCUGCUUGGCCCUGGGGCCGGAAGCUGCUUCUCAGGCCUCACUCUGAGAAGCAUCUUCACACCCUGGGUAGGUCCAUUGCCUCUUUCCACCGACUCUGCUCCUUGAGAAGGGCAUGUUCAUCAGCAGGGCCAGGCAGGGAGAGCUCAGGACAGCCAGACCUGGGGCCAGUGGCAUAGGUACGUGUGGGAAGGGGCACCAGGUGCCUGUCCUCCCUGCGGGCAGAGCCGUCUGUCCUCUGCAGACCUGCAGUUUCUGUAAACAUCCUGUAAGGAGCCAGGAAGCAGCAACUCCAGAUGCCCAGAGGAGCCCCAGCCAAGGCAGAUGCAGCCAGGGCAUCAGGCCGUGGGGUUGGGCAAGGUGAGCCACAGGCUGGAAAGGCAGGGGCGCACGGCAGAUGGGGAUGCGGAAGCCAGAUGCUGACCCAGCUCCACCCACAUUUGUGAGGGGCAUGGGGGCUGCGCCAUCAGAGGCCUUAGCUGGCUCCGGGCUUGAACUGUGAGUCCCAAGAGCCCCAGUUUUAUUCCCACGUGGCUGCAGUGUGCCAGGCUUAGCUUCCCUGUGUUUCUGUAAAACAGCACCCUCGUGUUUUUAUAUGAGAACCGAAUUCAAGGUACUAGAAGUCCUCAUAUGGGAAGGGAAAAGUCGUGGUUUUAUAAGUAAUACACUCUGGCUGAGCCCAAGUUAAGAUUUCCAGUCCAAGUUCAUCAGCGCCCAGCUUCAGCCAGGACUGCUCUGGCCCCACUGCUGUGUGAGCUGGCGCUUCUGAUUCCACCCCACACUCGGUGAAAGGGUCCCAGAACAACUGACACUGAGCGUCACCGGCGGCGGCUCUUCCUAGAGGAGCAUGUUCGGAAGAGGUGAGGCUACGGGGCUGGGGCCCUGUGCUAAUACUCCCUGGCUGUGUGACCCUGGGCAAAUUACUCAGCCUCUAUGAGCUGCUGCUUCCUCUCCAGUGGAGUGGGCUGAUCCCAGCCACACCAGCACCCCUGGUUGUUCCGUGGUUAAUGUCUGCCAAACACGGUGCCAUGGAGAACACCCAGCAGAGCCCAGCUGCUUGUUUGCUGGGGAGGGACAGCGCUGCAGGGGCGCCUCCCCCUGGCCCUCCAGCACCUUUCCACCUUGCUUCCAGGACCUCCGCGGCUCAGAGGCAGUGCAGGUGGGCUUCAGCGGCGGCAGGGAGGGCCCACGCCGGCACACAAGGAAGAAGGGAAGGCGCCAGGGAUCGCACCCCUCAGGAAGAAGAGGGACAGAGGCAAAGAUAGGAAGGACACGCAUUGUGCCUUCUGUCACUUGGGGAUUUUCAAGUCAAAAUGGGGAGGGGGCCGGUGUAGGUUUGGAAACUAUCCAAAUGGCAUUUUGUUUCACAUUGCUGGCUGGGGGCAGGCCCUCUGCAGUGACCCUAAAUGCCCACUAGAGGUCACACCGCAAAAAGGGACCUCCCCUAAGGAGAGGGGACAAACGGAGGACCCUGGGCACCCUGCCUCCUGCAAGGGGAGGAAGGAUGAAGCCCCGCCAUCCACCGGGUGGGGAAAGUGCCAUGCCUCCGGCAGCACAGCCAAGCGGCCCCCAGAGGGAGGAGUGAGCUCCAUAUGGGCCCAGGUGACCCGGCCACAACACCCUCUCGGCCUCCGCCUCACCUGCUGGUGUUGGGCAUGGCCAGCCUGGGCAGCCACCAGCCCUCGCUGCCCAUCUGCUGUCCCCUCAACCCCAGCAGCAGACAGAAAAGUGCAGGGUCUGAGCCCCCGGGGGGAUGCUGGUGUUGGACAGAUCCCUGGAGAACAAAGCCUGUGCCCUUGUGUCUAGGUGAGGCUGUGGCACCCAGGCCCGGAGCAGGUCCCCCCAGCUGGGCCGUCCCCACUCUCGGAGCAAGAGGGGAACUGCAGCAGGCAGCAGCCUUCUACUCGUUCCCCAUGACCUGAUUUUUUUUUCAUUUUAAAAUAAAAUAUGUAAGAG